AUACGUAGGGUGCAAGCGUUAUCCGGAAUUAUUGGGCGUAAAGCGUUCGCAGGCGGUUUAACAAGUUUGAGAUUAAAUCUGGUCGCUCAACGAUCAACUCGUCUCGAAAACUAUUAAACUAGAGGAUGAUAGAGGCAACUGGAAUUCUGUAUGUAGGGGUGAAAUCCGUUGAUAUACAGAGGAACACCAAAAGCGAAGGCAGGUUGCUGGGUCAUUUCUGACGCUGUUGAACGAAAGCGUGGGUAGCAAACAGGAUUAGAAACCCGGGUAGUCC
rnacentral:rRNA from 1 species